rnacentral:rRNA from 1 species
CCUACGGUGAGCAGCAGUGAGGAAUAUUGGUCAAUGGGCGGAAGCCUGAACCAGCCAAGUAGCGUGCGGGAUGAAGGCCCUACGGGUCGUAAACCGCUUUUGCACGGGGAUAACACCCUCCACUUGUGGAGGUCUGCAGGUACCGUGCGAAUAAGGGCCGGCUAAUUCCGUGCCAGCAGCCGCGGUAAUACGGAAGGCCCGAGCGUUAUCCGGAUUCAUUGGGCUUAAAGGGAGCGUAGGCGGGCGUUCAAGUCAGCUGUAAAAUCGCGCGGCUCAACCGCGCCCCGCAGUUGAAACUGGACGCCUUGAGUUCACAACAGUCAGGCGGAAUUCGUGGUGUAGCGGUGAAAUGCAUAGAUAUCACAAGGAACCCCGAUUGCGAAGGCAGCCUGCCGGGGUGCGACUGACGCUGAGGCUCGAAGGUGCGGGUAUCAAACAGGAUUAGAUACCCCAGUAGUC